rnacentral:rRNA from 1 species
UACGUAGGAGGCAAGCGUUAUCCGGAUUUACUGGGCGUAAAGAGGGCGUAGGCGGCCUUUCAAGUCGGAUGUAAAAUCUCCCGGCUUAACUGGGAGGGACCAUCUGAUACUGUUGGGCUAGAGUGCAGCAGAGGGAGGCGGAAUUCCCGGUGUAGUGGUGAAAUGCGUAGAUAUCGGGAGGAACACCAGUGGCGAAGGCGGCCUCCUGGGCUGUAACUGACGCUGAGGCCCGAAGGCGUGGGGAG